UACGAAGGGGGGCUAGCGUUGUUCGGAAUCACUGGGCGUAAAGCGCACGUAGGCGGAUCUUUAAGUCAGGGGUGAAAUCCCGAGGCUCAACCUCGGAACUGCCUUUGAUACUGGGGAUCUCGAGUCCGGGAGAGGUGAGUGGAACUGCGAGUGUAGAGGUGAAAUUCGUAGAUAUUCGCAAGAACACCAGUGGCGAAGGCGGACUCACUGGCCCGGAACUGACGCUGAGGUGCGAAAGCGUGGGGAGCAAACAGG
rnacentral:rRNA from 1 species